rnacentral:tRNA from 1 species
GCCUGGGUGGCUCAGUCGGUUGAGCAUCUGACUUCAGCUUGGGUCAUGAUCUCACAAUUUGUGGGUUCAAGCCCCGCAUCAGGCU